rnacentral:rRNA from 1 species
UUCGCCCUUUUCCGGUUGAUCCUGCCGGACCUGACUGCUAUCGGAUUGAUACUAAGCCAUGCGAGUCAUUGCAGCAAUGCAAGGCAGACGGCUCAGUAACGCGUAGUCAACCUAACCUAUGGACGGGAAUAACCUCGGGAAACUGAGAAUAAUGCCCGAUAGAACACUAUACCUGGAAUGGUUUGUGUUCCAAAUGAUUUAUCGCCGUAGGAUGGGACUGCGGCCUAUCAGUUUGUUGGUGAGGUAAUGGCCCACCAAGACUAUUACAGGUACGGGCUCUGAGAGGAGUAGCCCGGAGAUGGGUACUGAGACACGGACCCAGGCCCUAUGGGGCGCAGCAGGCGAGAAAACUUUGCAAUGUGCGAAAGCACGACAAGGUUAAUCCGAGUGGUUUCUGCUAAAGGAACCUUUUGUUAGUCCUAGAAACACUAACGAAUAAGGG